rnacentral:tmRNA from 1 species
CACGGGACGAGACCCAACGGUGAGCUAAGCAUGUAGUACCGGAGAUGGAGUGCCUUCGGACGGCGGUUCGACUCCGCCCACCUCCACCA